GGAAGGAGGACAGCGAGGACGAGUCAGAAAUAAUACAAGAGAAAAGGCACGAACUGGUUCCUGCUCGCAGCUGGACCUGUGGGUCAGAAGGGCAUCGUGGAUGAGUAAAUAUUCAACUGCCUGGGGCAUCCGGGGAAAAUGCCAGUGGAGACUCAGCUACUGCGUUUCUCCAACCUUUAUCAGCGCAUAGAACAAGUGCAGCUGAGAAAAGAGAGAGCUGACUGAGCAGAGAAUGAUCCCAGCGCGAAGGCUGCGGAGCGGCAGGCACUGGGCAGGAGAAGAGCGGGCACAACCACGCCAUGCCACGCCAACGCAAGCAACACAUAAACAUCAACAUCGGAAAGAAAGGACCAGAGCAACCGCUGCGGCCAGCAGCAGGUGAGCUGAGGAAAGCAUGCAGGAAGGGGCGAGAGUAGUCAGAACAGACGGCUGUCUGAUAUACUCGAGGGAGUCUGAAACCAGAACGUUUAAGGGCUGCUUUGGGUUUGGGAAGACUGAGAAGAUAAACAGAAUUCUAAGAAAAAUAUUUUCACAGUUCCUCUCGUCAGUGCAGGACAGCGGAGAGAUAAGGUAACUGCUGAACUAAGAUAGGAACACGAAGCCAGGAGGAGACAAAGAGUCUAAGAGGUGAGAUCUGACCAUGUUUAAAGGCGUAAAGGAGAUUCUGCCAAGGGGAUGGAUGCCGUGACCAGGAAGAAGCGAUGAGAAGAUGGGAGCUGGACUCCAGGGCAGGCUUGGGGCAGAAGAGGAUGAAGCAACAGGGAGUUGGAAACAGGAGAUGAAAAAUGAGAGUGAGAGGUGGAUGAAUAUCUGUUUCGAGCAGUAUUUCUCAACCUUGACACCGUGGACAUCUCAAGCCAGACAAUUCUUUGCUGUGGGAUGUGGGGUGGAGGCUGCCCUGUGCACUGCAGAAGCGGCACCCCGGCCUGUGUACACUAGAUGCCAGAGCGCCCAGCCCCCCAGCUGUGACACCUAAAAUGUCUCCGAUGUUGUCGAAUUUCUGCUGGGUGACAGAAUUGCCCCCCGGGUGAGAACCAAUGAUUUCACAGAAGAAAAAGGAUUGGGGAGAUAAAUGCUGGAACCGAAAGAAGACUUGACACGUCCAACUCCCUUUUUGAUGAAUUAUCAAGGCAGUCAUCAGCGAUCAAACCAAAGAAACAACACUAAAAGGUACACCUCAGGUCUAAACAUCACGGAUCAGACAGAAGGAAGGUAAACAAUUGCCCUGAUACACCCCAAGCCAAACGGGACGCAUGUGGAUUAAACGAACCUAAACCAAGGCCGCUCGUUUUAUCUGACAUUCCUUUGGGAUUCUGCAUUGUUGGUAAAGAUUAGGAUGGAAGAAUGCAAACCCAUGCUGAUCUGAAACAUCCACAAGCCCACAACCUCUGAGGAGUGUGUGUGUGGAGGGGGAGGGGCGGUGAGAGGGAGGGAGGGUGAGAGAAAGAGAGAGGGAUUCAAAACUCUUCCAGCUUUCUUGAGCAAACCUUGGUUUGCAACUGCUUACCCUCCACUAUUCUUUCUAGAUCUCAAAGAAUCAGUUUCCAACCGGAAGGUGAUUCCACGGGACUACGCUGUACUCUUGAUAUUUUCAAAGCAUUUUGCCUAGGUAUUUCUCCGUGGUGACUACAAAAAUGCCCCCCCCGCUCCCCAACAACCCUGCAUGCUUUCCUGAUAGCCUAGUUCCGUGAGAGUUCUAGGUCUGAUAAAGACCUGUCUCAGGUCCAGGGCUAGAAUGGAAGGAUGGUGUGCAAACGUGCCAGAGCUCCAAGGGUUUGGAAACUGGAUCUCAAUCUUCUCAUGUCAGCAUUCCCACGUAACUCAGCAGACUCUCUAGCUCCACGAGGACAGGUCCCGUGGAUAAAGCUCAGCAUUGCUGCAAAGAGAGAGGUCAGCUAAUACACAAAGGUGAGGACUUAUGGGGUCAGCUGGUUGGCACAGAGCUGCCGAGGAAGGACCGUGCCUGAGCAGGAACCGUGAUAGUCUCAGGGUCACUGAUUAUCAUGGUGGACCUUGGGCUUUCCCUGGUUCUCAUUACAUCCCUGGGCAACCAUCCUGGAUGUAGUCUGUCUCUUAGGAGAAAACUGCCCAGAUUCUUACUUCUCCAAAGGGCAGUUUAGUGUAGUGUUAAGAGCAUGGACCCUGGGGCUAAAAAUGCCCCAAUUCAAACCCAGCUCAUUACUCAUAACUCUGUACCUUAGGCAAGUGAAUUAAAAUCUCUACCUCAGUUUCCUCACCUGUAAAAAGCAGGUGAUAAUAGAAUCAGUGACAGAGGAUUAUAAUAAGGAUUAGAUGAGAUAAUACUUGUAGACUUUCUUUUUUUUUCUGUUUUUUUUUGGCCGUGCUGUGUGGCAUGCGGGAUCUUAGCUCCCAGACUAGGGAUUGAACCUGUGCCCCCUGCAAUGGAAGUGCAGAGUCCUAACCACUGGAUAAUACUUGUAAAGUGCUUUUAAAAAUAUCUGCAUGGGGCUUCCCUGGUGGCGCAGUGGUUAAGAAUCCGCCUGCCAAUGCACGGGACACGGGUUCAAGCUCUGGUCCGAGAAGAUCCCACAUGCCGCGGAGCAACUAAGCCCGUGCACCACAACUACUGAGCCUGCGCUCUAGAGCCCGAGAGCCACACCUACUGAGCCUGCGCGCCUAGAGCCUGUGCUCUGCAACAAGAGAAGCCACCGCGAUGAGAAGCCCACGCACCACAACGAAGAGUAGCCCCCACUCGCCGCAACUAGAGAAAGCCCGCACCCACCCAACGCAGCCAAAAAUAAAUAAAUAAAUAAAUAAAUAAAUAUAUCCGCAUGUACCAAGUGCUCAAUAAGUAUUUGUUGUUAUUCUGUCUGCCAAAUUCUUGGAAAAUUAUCAUCAUCCAUUAAAAGCACUCAGGAAUGUGGCUUUCUUGGUAUUUUAUCGUGAAUAGGUCUCAUUGCGGAUAACAGAUGUACUGCGUGUUCUGUCAGACUCUAACAACAUUUACCCUGAGUGCUAAGAUUUUUCUGCCUCAUAUGGACGGCCUCAUUUUCUUUAAACAGAACUGCCCUACCGAAGACUGUGGCCUCCUUAGGCAGGGCCCAUUACUCUGCUGCAAAUUUUCCCAGCCUGACCCAGUUAGAAACGUUCAACAGAAAAUAAUGCAGUCACGCGGAUGCAUAGGUUUGAAGAGAGGUUCACACCACUCUAGAACUGACCACAGCUGGGUUUUAACUAGCCAGUUCCUUGAACACACUUAGAUCAUGAUUUGGUUUAAAAUAUAUAAAAGUCAGACAGGCACAAUAUUCAGAAGCACGACUAUUCUCUAAGGCAAAGUAUGUACAUUCUAAUUUCUAGCAACUGUUAAUGGACUUGACUUACCCAGGGCCUUAGUCACCCCCUAACAUUUAAUUAAAGCACAAUGGUAGGGACUUCCCUGGUGGCGCAGUGGUUAAGAAUCUGCCUGCCAAUUCAGGGGACAUGGGUUCGAUCCCUGGUUGGGGAAGAUCCCACAUGCCACGGAGCAACUAAGCCCGUGUGCCACAACUACUGAACCCGCAUGCCACAA